rnacentral:rRNA from 1 species
UACAGAGGAGCCAAGCGUUGUCCGGAUUUAUUGGGCGUAAAGAGCGUGUAGGCGGCCAGGUAGGUCUGCUGUGAAAACUCGAGGCUCAACCUCGAGACGUCGGCGGAAACCAUCUGGCUAGAGUCCGGAAGAGGAGAGUGGAAUUCCUGGUGUAGCGGUGAAAUGCGCAGAUAUCAGGAAGAACACCCGUGGCGAAGGCGGCUCUCUGGGACGGUACUGACGCUGAGACGCGAAAGCGUGGGGAGCGAACAGG